GACGAACGCUGGCGGCGUGCUUAACACAUGCAAGUCGAACGGAAAGGCCCUGCUUUUGUGGGGUGCUCGAGUGGCGAACGGGUGAGUAACACGUGAGUAACCUGCCCUUGACUUUGGGAUAACUUCAGGAAACUGGGGCUAAUACCGGAUAGGAGCUCCUGCUGCAUGGUGGGGGUUGGAAAGUUUCGGCGGUUGGGGAUGGACUCGCGGCUUAUCAGCUUGUUGGUGGGGUAGUGGCUUACCAAGGCUUUGACGGGUAGCCGGCCGGAGAGGGUGACCGGCCACAUUGGGACUGAGAUACGGCCCAGAAUCCUACGGGAGGCAGCAGUGGGGAAUAUUGCACAAUGGGCGGAAGCCUGAUGCAGCAGCGCCGCGUGCGGGAUGACGGCCUUCGGGUUGUAAACCGCUUUCGCCUGUGACGAAGCGUGAGUGACGGUAAUGGGUAAAGAAGCACCGGCUAACUACGUG
rnacentral:rRNA from 1 species